rnacentral:rRNA from 1 species
CCGACGGUGAGAGAUGAAAGCCGGGGGAGCGAACCGGAUUAGAUACCCGGGUAGUCCCGGCUGUAAACGAUGCGGGCUAGCUGUUGGGUGGUCUUACAGCCCACAAAGGGGCGCACUUUUUCAGUUUAGCCCGCCGCCUGGGGAGUACGGCCGCAAGGCUGAAACUCUAAGGAAUUGGCGGAGGCCCCCCACAAGGGGUGGAGACUGCGGUUCGUUGCAGGCACCGCCGGGCAUCUUAUC